AUCAUACCUGUCCAUCGUCUGCAUCCAGACUCUCCAUCCAUAGCUGUCUGUCCCCUUCAUCCAGAUUUUUCAACCCUUAGCUGUCCAACCUCUGCAUCCAGACUCUCCGAAUGGGCAGGGACUAUUCAGUUUGUACAGUUGGAUUCUGUUCCGUUGUGUGAACGGCUUCUGGAAGGAAAGGAGGAAGGAAAAUUUAAAAGAAACAAAAAGGAAAAGCAGAAAGGAAAAAUGAAUAAAUCAGUAAAGAAAAAAGAAAAGAAUAUAAAACAGAACCGAAAGGAAGAGAAAAAUGACUGAAAAAAAAUUGCAGCAUUUAUUUUUGGGGACCUUACUGUCUCCAUUGUAUCCGUUAUUUACUUUGAUACUGUCAAAUGCCAGAAAUAGAUUUCUCUCUGAUUCGUUUGAUAAAUUUGACCCAAGAUUUCCAUUUGGAGUGACUGGAGUUCCUACUGUUUUUCUGCGUGUUGGUGGGCCAAGGCCUAAUCACCUCGAGGCCCCAUAGAGGCCAUAAAUUACCACGAUGAGCACUUCAAGCUGGAGAUGCCAGUGUUUGCUGGUCACGUGGGAAUAAUCUCAUCUCAAGGCACCAACAAAGUUAUGUGGAAGCCAGUAAGAUGAGACAUGUUGGUACCUAACCACAGAGACUUCUCUUAGCUUAUGAAUUUGUUUAUCUAUUUAUUGAUUGAUUGAUAAUCUUCACACCAGUGAUUACAGAUCACAGUAUUACAGUAUGUGGGUUAAUAAAUUGUUUCCAAAUGGGGUGCUUGUUCUGUUCUAGCAUGUGACCCCAGGAUCCUGAUCAGGAAGAAAGACUCUGCCGGAAACCAGUACACUCAGACUUCUAUGACUGUUAAUGAAAUAAGAUCCUUGUCUUUCUAAAUACUUACCUAGUCUCUACUGAUUAGCUGUAGAAAAAGGAAACAGAGCAAAGGCACAAUGAUAUUUGGCAUAGAAGUAAGUAGCACGGACUUUAUAGUUUUUGACCUGGCUAUGGUGGAUAUCAGUAAUCUACUCAGAUCCAUCAUAAAUGUGGGGUCAUAGUUCAAUGCCGCGGACAUUGAAAAUGCAGAGGGAAGCCUCUGGGCCACUUGGCUCAGGCAUCCCCUGUUUGGCUCUCAACCAUUUUGCACCUUCCAUGGCUCUGCCUCACUUCCAUUCCUGCCAGAACUCUGUGUCCUCCUCAGACUCUAAUAAAGUUUGCCUUGCCCCGUGCUA